rnacentral:misc_RNA from 1 species
UAAUCUCACUACGAUCGACUUUUGUCUUUCUGUAUGUGGACUUGGAUGUUGCCGUGAAUAACAAAUGGCUCGUCUGAAAUGCCUGAGUGUACCCCGCUUUGCGGCGUAUUCGGUGUGAUACAUCUUCACCGGAGUUGAUUCUUUAUGGGUCGCGUCUGUAACGAGUGUGGCUCUAUGCUUCAAACCGUCUUCUGAUUGAGACAAUCUCUGACA